UCCAGACUCCUACGGGAGGCAGCAGUGGGGAAUAUUGCACAAUGGGGGAAACCCUGAUGCAGCGACGCCGCGUGAGCGAUGAAGUAUUUCGGUAUGUAAAGCUCUCUCAGCAGGGAAGAAGAUGACGGUACCUGACUAAGAAGCCCCGGCUAACUACGUGCCAGCAGCCGCGGUAAUACGUAGGGGGCGAGCGUUAUCCGGAUUCACUGGGUGUAAAGGGAGCGUAGACGGCCAUGCAAGCCAGGGGUGAAAGCCCGGGGCCCAACCCCGGGACUGCCCUUGGAACUGCAUGGCUGGAGUGCGGGAGGGGCAGGCGGAAUUCCUGGUGUAGCGGCGAAAUGCGUAGAUAUCAGGAGGAACACCGGCGGCGAAGGCGGCCUGCUGGACCGUGACUGACGUUGAGGCUCGAGAGCGUGGGGAGCAAACAGGAUUAGAUACCCUCGUAC
rnacentral:rRNA from 1 species